rnacentral:RNase_P_RNA from 1 species
GAGGAAAGUCCGGGCUCUAUUUAUAAAACUAUAGCUGUAUAAAAUACAGUGUAGGUAACUAUAAGGAUCGUGCCACAGAAAUAUACCGCCUUUUGUUAGGUAAGGGUGCAAUGGUUCGGUAAGAGCGUGCCAGAAAUGUUGUUGAAAUGUUUGCUAGGUAAACCCCGUAUUUGAGCAAAGAUGAUAUUUGUUAUCUUAAGUGUAAAAUUUUAUAAGUUUUACCUGUAUUUUAAUUGACGAUAUAUACUGCGUAAGGUAAUUCAUUUACUAAAGAUUAAUAAUUACCCUUUUCAACGUAAAAUUUUGCUUUUGGGAAGAACUGAACCCGGCUUAU